AAAUUGAAGAGUUUGAUCAUGGCUCAGAUUGAACGCUGGCGGCAGGCCUAACACAUGCAAGUCGAGCGGCAGCGGGGAGUAGUUUACUACUUUGCCGGCGAGCGGCGGACGGGUGAGUAAUGUCUGGGAAACUGCCUGAUGGAGGGGGAUAACUACUGGAAACGGUAGCUAAUACCGCAUAACGUCUUCGGACCAAAGUGGGGGACCUUCGGGCCUCACGCCAUCGGAUGUGCCCAGAUGGGAUUAGCUAGUAGGUGGGGUAAUGGCUCACCUAGGCGACGAUCCCUAGCUGGUCUGAGAGGAUGACCAGCCACACUGGAACUGAGACACGGUCCAGACUCCUACGGGAGGCAGCAGUGGGGAAUAUUGCACAAUGGGCGCAAGCCUGAUGCAGCCAUGCCGCGUGUGUGAAGAAGGCCUUCGGGUUGUAAAGCACUUUCAGCGAGGAGGAAGGCAU
rnacentral:rRNA from 1 species